GGACGCGCCCGCUUCUCGCUGGAGUGCGCACCGAGCGGCAGUGACUUCGCCGCUGCUGUAGUUCCCCGGCUGGAUGCGGUGACUGGUGCCAGUGCUCAGGCGCCCGCUGCCCUUGACCUCCCGCCCCGCGAGCCCUAACUCAGCGCAGGAGGACCGGCUGCCGCCGCCGCCGCCGCCAGGAGGUAGAUUGGGAAGUGGAGCUGGCCGUGGUCAUUGGAAAGAAAGGCAAGCACAUCAAGGUGAAGUGGAAAAGUGGCUGCUGGGAAAAACCUUCGACACCUUCUGCCCUCUGGGCCCUGCCUUGGUGACCAAGGACAGUGUAGCAGAUCCACACAACUUAAAGAUCUGCUGUCGAGUGAAUGGGGAAGUGGUCCAGAGCAGCAACACCAACCAGAUGGUAUUCAAGACAGAGGACCUGAUAGCCUGGGUGUCCCAGUUUGUUACCUUUUACCCAGGGGAUGUCAUCCUGACUGGGACCCCCCCACCUCCACCCAGGUGUCGGUGUAUUCAGGAAACCUCCUGUCUUUCUCAAGGUCUCUGAAGGUCCAGACAGCACUGAUGGCGAGCUUUGGGUCCGCACACUCUGGAAAGAAGAGAGAAGUGAAGGCUCUAGGUAGGGAGAACAGAGAGCCACUGGGCACAGGCUUCUCUCCUCUUGUUUAAAGAAGCCCAGGGAGGGAUAGAGCUCUGACUGGACAGAAGACUGUACUCUGCAGCCUGCCUUCCUAGAGUUGGGUUGUCACUGUCCUGCAGGGGGCAGCAGCCACCAGCAAACACCACUGCCUGCAGGAGCCUGGGCUGACUGGUUGGGACUCACCGAAGAUCCCUUCUUCCUGGGCGGUGGCCUGCAGGAACUGGAACAGCUGCUCUGUGUAGCCCAACUCUGCAGAAGAGAGAAGACCUAGACCUGGCACCCAGCACAGACACAGCCUGCCUCGAGGACUGCAAGGGAACAAGGGCCUCACCAGUAUCGGGCAGCUGGCCCUGGCGGAGGAAGGCGGCAGCCUGUGCAAAGGCCUUGAGCAGCGGGCUGAGCAGGCGGCAGAGGAAAAGAAAGAAAUCUGGGCAGUGUGACUGCUGGCUGAGCUGGAGGGGACAGGCCGGGGUGAGUGCAGCUCCCCACCGCCUCCCUACCACCUCCCUCCAGGGGCAGCUUUUUGAAACACACCCUGAAGUACCGGCCGUCAGCCUCUCCGAAGUCAUCACUGUCACUAUCAGUAAAGUCCCCACUCGGUUUCCACAGCA
rnacentral:lncRNA from 1 species